UCCAGAAACAUCGAAAUGGGACAUUUCUAUAUUUUUCAAAGUCUUAUUCCAAAUUGUUUUUUUUUUUAAGGUAGAAAACAAUACAAUUUGGGGGGAGGGGGAAAUCCCGUUUCAUUUUUGACUCGCCCUAAUGCUCGUUUUAAAAUGAAAUGGACACUGACACUCACCCCCGUAAGACAGAGUUACUGGUAACAGCUUUGAAAAGUCAUGUUUUUAUUUUAAUUGUAUUACAGUAUUAACUCGUGCCCCUCCCAGCAAUAACCACUAACAGGGCACUGCGAGAGGCGCCGGGGGGCCUUCUGCCAGGCUGAAGUCUGAAAUCAGAGCGUGGGUGCGCCCAGACUCCGAGCCGUGCGCAGCGGCAGCAGGUCUCAGCCCUGGCCCGCACCCGUCCCGCAGCAGGGUUGUACCGCUAGGCGGCCCGGCCGGCCCGCAGGGCCAGCGGCUCUCUCCCGCGGGGGCGAAGCAGGACAUCCCCGCUCAGCGCGCCGGGGCUGAGGGGUCGGUGUCUUAGGGCCAGCAGGGGCCGGAGCUUCGCGGCGCGGCGCGGCGGGAAUCGACCUCCCGCUAAAGCGACCCCAGAGGCUGCAGAUAAAAAUAAUGAGGAAUCCCAGUAAUGAGUGGCUUCAAAAGUUAUUUUUCCUCCCUUGGUAUCCUGCUGUUAAUUUAAUUGUCUCGUUAAACUGACCUCACACUUGGUAUAUCUGCAGUGGAAACCAGGACCAGAGCAUAAUGUCUGGUGAAGAUACAGAAAGAGCUCCAAGUAGCUCCCCUACAUCUCUCUAGUAGGGGCAGGUCUCUCAGCUACAUAGCAGAGACUGCUUGCUCUCUGAUGGAAUGAGCCCUCUCCCCUUCCACUGGGUGUGGGGCAGGGGGAUGUAGACUAGUUGGUAACAAAAGAUAAUACAACCAGAGAUCCAUUUAAAAAGUCUCUGCCCCAAUAGAGUGUGCCCCUUGAUUUUCUGCUAUGGAAAAAUAGUUUAGAUGUCUUUCUAAUGUUCUUUGUAGAUAAAAAGACAAAGCCCUUUGGACAUUCAGAGAAUACAGCCUUCUCUCCAUCUGCGGCAUAUAGUUUAGGAAAAAAUAUUGGUAAGUGGAUGAUCUGACUCAUGAAACAAACUACUUCAGGGACAAAUGUGGAGUGGGGGUUUAAAUAGACCUUUUCUUUAUAGAUGGUAGUGUAUGGUGGGUUCCCCAUGAGCAUCCCCAGCUCACCGACUCUUCUAGCUGAUAUAGCCGUAACAAAGGCCACCUUCAUAGACAGAGGGGCCUUUGAGCAUGUGGCUAGAGGCUUGAAAGGGAGGUUUAAUGAGAGAUGAUUGAACAAAACUGGAGGUCCUACUGAGAUAUGAUCACCACCAAUGUUGGAAAGGAUCUAAGAAGUCCCUUCAGAAAUCUAGGUGUGCUAGAAUAAGUGAAGAUCAUAGGGUUACCCCUGGCUGAAAAGCUCUGAUUACUGCUAAAUGCACUCAAAGAGAACUGGGUGCAAGACACAGAGACUUAAGGGUAAGUAGAUUUUCUAGGAUAGCAGGGAUCUCAGCAUAUUCCAGACAAAUGGUGUUGCUGAGUCCAAGAGGAGAAGUGCUCCAUUUUGCUGAAUAACAGUUCCUUGCGGAGGCCUUUCUGCAUUGGUUAAAGAUGGAAUGCAUCUUCCAGAACACAAGAAUUCUAUUUCCAAUGCCCAUCGAAAUACCCGUGUGACAGUAUACCCCCCUGAGGCUUUAUGGAAAUAUGCUUAUGAAUGUAUAUGUGAGAUAACUGGAAUAUGUUUUAUGCUACAUAUGCCAUGUAACAUCUCUCUGUAAAGGUUAUGAUCUACUGAAUACGUUCCUCCUGUUUGUAUACAUGUAUCAUUUUUUUAACUUGAAGUUAGAAAUCAAGCAAGUAUACAGCCAAUAUUCAUAAGUAGCCUUAGUAGAGCAUUUGAUCAGCUUCUUGAGAAAGGAAUGUGUUAAUUAAGUGCCCAGUCAAGAAACACUUAAAGGACAAUGAAUCUUGGAAGGCUCCAAUCCACAUAAGAAGGUAGCAUGUAAGCAAUGGCUGCUGCCUGUAAAAACUGAAUCAUGCAUGUACAUGUGACUUGCCCAUGUGACUCCAAAACUCCAUCUUGGAGCUGGUCUUUGCAUAGGAGAGAGGAGGGGGUCUCCACCCACAAGAGAAAGUCUAUUUAAACCCCUGGGAAACCCCUCCGUUUUGUCUUCAGCUGGCUAAAGAGAUAGCCUCUCCACCCCCAAACACACUUGAAAGAAACUGGAACAAAGGACAGUAACUACAGGGGAUGUGAGUGAUUGCUAGACCCAGACUAGAAGGAGACUACUCUGUAAAAGGAAGCUUACUGGAAUUCCUCUGAGGGUGAGGUUUUUAUCUGUAUUCAGUUUUUUUACUGAAUUAGACAGACUUGCAUGUUCUAUUUUAUUUUGCUUGGUAAUUCACUUUGUUCUGUCUGUUACUACUUGGAACCACUUAAAUCCUACUUUCUGUAUUAAUACAAUCACUUUUUACUUAUUAAUUAACCCACAGAAUGUAUUAAUAGCUGGGGGAGGAGGGGGGGCAAACAGCUGUGCAUACCUCUCUAUCAGUGUUAUAGAGGGCAAACAAUUUAUGAGUUUAUGUAAUGAAUGAGCUAUUGAUACUGUUUAAAAUGAUCUGGUGGAGACAGAGAAGAUGGAGUAACCGUCUCAGCCGGUGAUGAUGACAAAAUUGUUCAUGGAACCGUUGGAACUGGCUCACCUUCCUCCAAAUACUCCCAUGGGGCAGGUUGUGGAUGGCUAGAUGAUAGCAAAUGGGGCUCAUGCAUCGAUCCUGGGCGUCUAGGGUGGGACUCCCAUGGUCUCCAGUAUUGCCAGCGGAGGAUCAUCAGGAUAGUCUCUUCCUCUGGUGUAACAAUGUCCUGGAAUAAAGAAGAUCCUGAUAGGAGUGAUGAAUGUGGCCAGAUCAGAUCAAAGGUCUCAGACCACGCUGGAGUAUGAGGAAGGUCCACCUGCGGAAACUAUCAGAACCAGAGCUUCCCCAGUCACACUGGAAGUCAGAGCCACAUGGGACAGUGUUGAUACAGGUACAACAUCGGAUCUAGACGUGGAUAAGAGCACCGCAAGCUAUUUAUCUUGAGUCUUUGCCAUCAGAGCUGUCAGAUCCCUACCCUUGCACACUACCAUCUCCUGCAGAGAUUUGUUUUGGUCUUAAUCCUUAGCAUCUGUUGGAAUUAAUAAUUUCAAAUAUUGUUAAUAUUCUGGGAACUCAAACACCAAUAUAACCAUGAAUUUCUUUAUUAAAUCUGAAAGCAAAAAUGGUACUUUAUGCAGUUGCUCUAAACAUGUCUAACAUCCUAAAAAUAAGCAGUUAUACAUCCAAUACAGUAUUAAUGUUUAUAAGCAUGUGAUCAGUAUACUUACAAAUAGGCCAGACCUUAGGGAUGACCAUCUCAUUCUGGCAUGCUCCAGCAUGAUCAGGUAGGGUCUGACAAAACCUUCAGAUUCAUGGCUCUCUUUAUACCCUUCAGCUAACUAGCUUUAGCAAAAACCUAGUUUGAAGCAGUUUAUCUUCUUUCCAUUCUCCAAGGCCUUCUCUUAUCUUCUUUCUGCCCCCUCCCAGCCGUGCUUAGCAGAACAGUGGGAAGGUUUGGGUUUGUUUCUUGAGACAAUUUUUGUUUGUCAUAUUACUGUAGCUUUUAUUUUCUAAUUAUUUUUGGAACCGUAUAUCCUUCCCACAUUAAAGUAACACUACUUACUAGUCUCACGGCUUUCAUUUAUUUGGUGAUUGGGGCCUUCUUUCUACGGGCCAUGAACCAUAAAGUGAAAGUUUUUUCCCCUUAACCAAAUUUAAGAUAGCUCUAAUUUUUAUCAUCCUACAGCACCUGUGCACGCAGUCUCUCACGACUUUGCCUGAGUCAGGGAGGAAUCCUCUCUUCAUGACAGUUUUUGACAAAGAUGAUUUUUCCUUGUAUCUAUGAAAGUGCCCCUUACUCUCAUGUGAAGCCUCUCCUUAGUCUUAGCAGUUUUAGCUUCCAUUCCUGAAGUCAUGCUUGGAGAGAUGCAGCCUGCUUCCUGAGACUGAUGUAUAGGUCAGGGGAGGAUGUUCCCAAGCCGAACCUGAUUGGGGUCUCGCUACCUUCUCCACCAGAUAUUUUCUAAGUUUUAGUUACUGACCCUCAAGUUCUGGGCAGAAAAGAAUGGCAGAUGCUGCAGUUGAAAGAGAUAUGAACCUCACCCAGGCAGCAGAGGCAGCGUUGAUGGUUGUUGCUCACAGAAAACAGUUUUGGAACACCAGGACCCUGGGCAUAAUCCCAGACUUCUGAAGCAGAAAAAUUCUCCAGGGAAGGGAGAAACUAACUACACUGUGCUAGAAUAGACUAUAAAAAUGAAGUUAUAUACCAAGGGUUGGCAACCUUCAGCACACAGCCCAUCAGGGUAAUCCGCUGGCGGGCUGCGAGACGUUUUGUUUAUGUAGAUCGUCUGCAGGCAUGGCCCCGUGCAGCUCCCAGUGGCUGCGGUUCACCGUUCCCAGCCAAUAUAUUUAGAGCAAUGAUAUAGUAGAAAGAAUCUUUCUUGCCCUGAGAUCCUGACUCAGAUUAUGCCACGGUAAGAAGGAACUGGAGAGGUCUUAGCCCACACUACCCUUUGUGCCCUUGUUUCAGAGCAUAAGGAAAGAUAUGGCACAUAUAUGGGCCAACAGAUACUACUUGUAAAAUCCUGGGCUCAGGCACAUGCAUAUCCAUUGGUGGAGUACACAAGGACCAGCACUCAAAGAAGAAUCUAGUCCUAGCACUACCUAUAUAUUAGACCCACCAACGCUUGAGUAUUUUAAGGCUUUAAAAAAAAAAAAAAAAGUUCUUAUAAACAAUUGUGUUGUUUGAGUGAGUCACAUAACAUCGUUUCUUUGAACUGACAAGCAUGAACCCGUUUGAGGGUGAAGAGACUUUUUACAGGUGCUUCUGUGCCUUUUCCACCUAUAUCAUCCUGAGCAAUAGCUUGAGCAAAGACUGGUAUUUAAGCAAUUGCAUUUCUAAAAGGUUUUUUGAAGUGGGGUUUAAGAUUGUUGGACAAUGCCAAGAAAGUGUCCCUACUGCCCCCAAUAGCCUCAAAAAAGCAUGAAUGAUAAACACCUUAACCAUUCCUGCACAAGACACGUCUUUGAUUAAUCAGGAGGAAAGUGAUCUAGCUUCACCAUGAAGGUAGACAAAGUUUUAAAAAGGUUCCUUCACAUUCAGUAUUUUCAAAAGUACAAUAUCUAAACAACAGUUCGGAGGUUUUAGCUAAGUUCCCCUCCUCGAAGGUCACCCACUGCUUCUUGAAGACUUAGAAGGGCUGAUACAGGAAAUGCAGUUCUCUAAAGAAACAUGACUUGAGAUGAGAAUUAAUGGGCUCAUUAAAAAUCAAGUAAAAAUCUUGAGCAAAAUAGAAGAACUGACCAGAGAACAGGAGGGAAAGCACAGAUUUAAAGCUUUUAUUAAGAUGUUUUUUAAAAAGUGAACGGUACAGAGUUUAAGCGUAGAAGUUUCUGGUUAUCAGGGAAUAACAUACAGAUUAUCAAGGGGUGCGAAGUUCAGUUUAAGAUCGGAUGGCAUAAGGAAUACAUAAUCUGCAAUAUCCCCGAUUGGGAGUAAAAGGUUAACGGGUCAAAGUAUAGACAUUGAGAUCUAAGGGUAUGUUGUUCAGAUGAUGGCUAUGUUCGGGUGUGGAGUGUAAUGAGUGGAUACAAUGAUGAGGAUGGAUUGACCCUCAUUUGGUGAGAUUUAACGUUCAGUGAGUUUAUAGUUCCAGUUCAUAUGGUCCAACGGAAAAAGUUUCUUGGUCCCUUUCUUGUAGUCAAUGCACAGUAUCACUCCAACUCACGCCUCCUGGUACUGUUGGUGGCCGGUGAUGUGUUUGGUGUAGAUGUCCCUGGACCAUCAGAUGGUGUCUGAGACCAUGAGGUGCCGCAUUACUACAAGACAACAGUGUUGCGUUGCAGACCUUACUCAAGCAAAUCUCUCCUUCACCUCAGUUGUCAUUUUGUCGAUAAGGAUGAUGCUUGAUAAGGAUGGUCUUUUUAUUUUUUCAUACUGUAGGAGUAACUGAAUCUUAUGACAACUUAGUCUUCCUACAAAUAUCAGACUACGGUAUUGAGAUAAAUUGUUUGAUAGUCUCUGAGUGUUGAAAAUCUACUUAAAAUUGAGAGUGCUCCCAGCUGUCUCACCCAGAAACCAAGAGAUAGUUUUUAAUUGAGCUGGAAGGAGACAAAAGUGUGUUGAGUAUUCUGCAUGCCUUUAUAUAAAUAUGGAGUAAGUUACUCACUAAGACAAAAAAAAAAAAAAAAAAGCAGUAAAAUUUUCAAAAUGGUCCUAAAGCCCCUAGGAUGCUAAAUUCCAUUUGCAGAAUUGCACUUGACUUCUUCCACCAGAAGCUUAAAGAAUAAAGUUAAAUUUGUGACUAAACUCUUACUUUUAUAGCUCAGUUAAGUACCUUCCCACAUUCAGGGGUCUAACUUUUACAAAAAUUGUUGAUGGAUAUGUAUACAACAACUAGGGUUUGAACUCCCACAGGAAAAUAGAAGGACAUAGCUUCACAUAAGAACAGACACAUCCCAAACCAGUGGGAGUAAGGGUUUCACCUCUUCCUUUGAGAAUCAUAGACUAUCAGAGUUGGAAGGGACCUCAGGUGGUCAUCUAGUCCAACCCCUUUCUCAAAGCGGGACCAAUCCCCAAAUGGCCCCCUCAAGGAUUGAACUCACAACCCUGGGUUUAGCAGGCCCAUACGCAAACCAUUGAGCUAUCCUUCCCCCGCAAGAGAAGAUAUUCAAAUGGGGGGGGGGGGAAGAGAAGAGGGAAAAACCACACCAAGAGAAUUACAACAUUAAAACAAAGGACAGACUGGACUCCAUGUGGAAGUCCAAUUAAAAUGUCUCCAUGAAGAUCCAUGCUGUAUGGCCCACACAGCUUAAUGAAAAAUAUGGACCUCAAAAGUUGGAUGACACAGGUGACUGGCAGUAGGACACAGAUCAACUCACUGAUUGAAAUCUAUGAACAGUAAAAAGCCUUGGUGACCAACAUCUCUGUAGUAUGUACCCUUGCUGGAAGUUUCCACAAGUCAGAAAUUACUCAGGGGGGAUAGCAGAUUGCAGUGUUAUUGGCAUUUCAUGGCUACAGUUUGCCAAAUUGACUAUUAUGCUCUGGACUUUUCUCCCAAGGUCUAAAGGCAUUUCUAGAGUGGGAUCUUAAGCUUAAGUUUACUAAACCGCCAUCCUGCUGAUCACAUCCCACACUAGAACACUACUGUUAUAUUUAGUACUGAAAGGCAGAUUGAGAAUAUACCUUCUGACAUGUUGCCUGUUUACACAACGACUUCCAGGAACCACAUCUGGAGAAAACUAUUAGCGUACUUCAUUUGUCCCCUGUAUCCAUUUUGCUUGCAGAGAGCGUAUUUAAAUCUGUCCUUAGUUCUGUACUGUUGACUUUUCCUGUAUGCAAAUAACCCCUGUCCUAUAGGGUUCUCAAACUUCAUUGUACUAUGACCCCCUUCUGACAACAAAAAUUACUACAUGACCCCAGAAGGGAGGACUGAAGCCUAAGCCCACCCAAGCCCCACUGACCCAGGCAGUGGGGUGAGGGGGAACCAAAGCCCCACUGCCCUGGGCAGGGGUGGGGUGUCAAAGCUGAACCUCAAGGGCUUCAGUCCCAGGCAGGAGGCCUACAACCUGAAGCCCUCAGGUUUCGGCCGUGGCCAGUAGGGCUUGGGUUUAAGCUUACACCUCAGCCCCAGGAAGGCUAAUGCCAGCCCUUGCGCCCCCAUUAAAACGGGGUUGUGACCCACAUUGGGGUCCUGACCCAGUCUGAGAACCGCUGCUCGAGGAGAUAAGUAUUCUGUACUAAAGCACAAGGCUAAGAAAGGUGCAGUAGGUUUAACACAAACUACUCUAAAAACACUACAUUGUUCGAAUACUUGUAGUAAACUUUAAGAUCAUUUGAAGUACCUAUUAAAAAAAUCCUCAGCAUUAUAGUGGCAGGUGUUUUUGUCCAGGUUUGAGAGUUUUACAUUGUUAUAUGCCACUACCCUUAGCUUUGCAAGAGUGUUA